rnacentral:rRNA from 1 species
CCUACGGGAGGCUGCAGUCGAGAAUCAUUCACAAUGGGGGAAACCCUGAUGGUGCGACGCCGCGUGGGGGAAUGAAGGUCUUCGGAUUGUAAACCCCUGUCAUGUGGGAUCAAAUUAAAAAGAUAGUACCACAAGAGGAAGAGACGGCUAACUCUGUGCCAGCAGCCGCGGUAAUACAGAGGUCUCAAGCGUUGUUCGGAAUCACUGGGCGUAAGGCGUGCGUAGGCUGUUUCGUAAGUCGUGUGUGAAAGGCGCGGGCUCAACCCGCGGACGGCACAUGAUACUGCGAGACUAGAGUAAUGGAGGGGGAACCGGAAUUCUCGGUGUAGCAGUGAAAUGCGUAGAUAUCGAGAGGAACACUCGUGGCGAAGGCGGGUUCCUGGACAUUAACUGACGCUGAGGCACGAAGGCCAGGGGAGCGAAAGGGAUUAGAUACCCCAGUAGUC